AGUACGGGGUGUUAGGGCACGACACCGGAGAGGGAGCCUGAGAAACGGCUACCACAUCCAAGGAUGGCAGCAGGCGCGCAAAUUACCCAAUCCCGACACGGGGAGGUAGUGACAAUAAAUAACAAUACGGGGUUCUUUCGGGUCUCGUAAUUGGAAUGAGUACAAUUUAAAUCCCUUAACGAGGAACAAUUGGAGGGCAAGUCUGGUGCCAGCAGCCGCGGUAAUUCCAGCUCCAAUAGCGUAUAUUAAAGUUGUUGCAGUUAAAAAGCUCGUAGUUGAAUUUCGGGGUUAGUAGGUUGGUCAUGCCUCUGGUAUGUACUGGUCUCACUGAUUCCUCCUUCCUGAUGAACCGUAAUGCCAUUAAUUUGGUGUUGCGGGGAAUUUGGACUGUUACUUUGAAAAAAUUAGAGUGUUUAAAGCAGGCUCGCGCUUGAAUACAUUAGCAUGGAAUAAUGAAAUAGGACGUUUGAUUCUAUUUUGUUGGUUUCUAGGAUCGACGUAAUGAUUAAUAGGGAUAGUUGGGGGCAUUAGUAUUCAAUUGUCAGAGGUGAAAUUCUUGGAUUUAUUGAAGACUAACUACUGCGAAAGCAUUUGCCAAGGAUGUUUUCAUUAAUCAAGAACGAAAGUUAGGGGAUCGAAGACGAUCAGAUACCGUCGUAGUCUUAACCAUAAACUAUGCCGACUAAGGAUCGGA
rnacentral:rRNA from 1 species